rnacentral:rRNA from 1 species
CCUACGGGAGGCAGCAGUGGGGAAUAUUGCACAAUGGGCGGAAGCCUGAUGCAGCAACGCCGCGUGCGGGAUGACGGCCUCCGGGUUGUAAACCGCUUUCGCCUGUGACGAAGCGUGAGUGACGGUAAUGGGUAAAGAAGCACCGGCUAACUACGUGCCAGCAGCCGCGGUGAUACGUAGGGUGCGAGCGUUGUCCGGAUUUAUUGGGCGUAAAGGGCUCGUAGGUGGUUGAUCGCGUCGGAAGUGUAAUCUUGGGGCUUAACCCUGAGCGUGCUUUCGAUACGGGUUGACUUGAGGAAGGUAGGGGAGAAUGGAAUUCCUGGUGGAGCGGUGGAAUGCGCAGAUAUCAGGAGGAACACCAGUGGCGAAGGCGGUUCUCUGGGCCUUUCCUGACGCUGAGGAGCGAAAGCGUGGGGAGCGAACAGGCUUAGAUACCCUGGUAGUCCACGCUGUAAACGGUGGGUACUAGGUGUGGGGUCCAUUCCACGGGUUCCGUGCCGUAGCUAACGCUUUAAGUACCCCGCCUGGGGAGGUACGCGCGAGACUAACUACAAGAAGUAGACGCGNGAGACGUGCGACGCGACACGAGGGAGAG